UACGUAGGGGGCGAGCGUUGUCCGGAAUUAUUGGGCGUAAAGAGCGUGUAGGCGGUUCGGUAAGUCUGCCGUGAAAACCUGGGGCUCAACCCCGGGCGUGCGGUGGAUACUGCCGGGCUAGAGGGUGGUAGAGGCGAGUGGAAUUCCCGGUGUAGCGGUGAAAUGCGCAGAUAUCAGGAGGAACACCGGUGGCGAAGGCGGGUCUCUGGGCCGAAACUGACGCUGAGGAGCGAAAGCGUGGGGAGCGAACAGG
rnacentral:rRNA from 1 species